UCCGGCUCGCAUGCGGCUGCUCGUGCUUCACCACAGGGCGGGUGGCCGUGCUUCAGGGGUUUAGCUUGUGGUAAAAGUACUUUUUACAAACUUCAACUGCACAAAAACCCUGCCCGCGAGGCACAGCGAUGGCACUGCCGUACGGAGAGUUCCUGGUGUUUGCCUUCUCUGUGAGACCUGCGAGAGGCUGUGCCAUGUGCGCCUCUGGGUGCGGCCGCCGGCGCCGCGCUCUGCUGUACGGCUUUCCUCGCUUAUCUUCCUGCGUAUCUUAACUUGGAGUAUCAUAGGAGGGGACUGAAGAAGGGUGGAUUUAUUCUGGAAGAGCAUUUCAUGCCUGUUGGAUACCACAGAAGAUAGAUUAAAAAUAGUGAGAAACAAGGUCCGGUUUGGGAUUUGAUGUUAUGAAAAACCCAUUCACUGCAUUGUGGGAAUGUUUGUCUUGAGGUUGCUGAAAGAAAAAGGUUGAAGUAGUGGAUAUAUUUCAUGAUACUUCUUAUAUUGUCUGCUGAUUGAAUGACGUAGUUAAGUGCUAUUUAAAAUGGGUAUUAUUUUGAAAUCCUUAGAGAAGGAAAAAGCCCACAAGAAAUUCUUGUUGAAAAGGACUCAGAGGCAAGAAAACGUGAUAAAGUGUGAAAAUCAGAAUAUCAGCAAAGUAUCCAAUAACCUUUCAACCCUUCUACAGCAUGGAAAAAGUUAUUCCAAGGCUGUUAAUGAGGUGAAAUAACUUUCUCUGCUCUCUGCAUUCUUGUAGAGGGUAUCCUCCGAGUACGGGAACUAACAAAUCGUUUUCCAGUUGAGACAAUUUUAGCAAUGUGAUCAGAGUGCUGGUGAGUUGUUCCUACAAAUCUCUGAUAAUGUUUCUCAAAUCUUCCUCUCUUCUUACGUGCUACCUUGUUCCCAUAAACUGCUAAUAUGGCCAUUUUCCUGCAAAUAAUAACUGUUCCAGCUGCUCUGUCCUUGAAAUACGCGUCACAUAAUGCACACAGCAAACCUUUUCCAUUUUCUAGUAACGAAUGCAAAUAGUCAGCAAUGGCUGAAGGAAUGAAAUUGUUACAUUUCUCGUACCUUAUCUGUGCUUUCAGACAGCAAGACUCCUCCAGAUCCAGCACCUCUCAGCUUUACACAGUGCACUUAUACAUUAUGUCAGAUUUUAACCUCUGUCAUGUGGCUCGGGGUAUUGACUGACUGGGAGUUUUUGCAGAAUUAAUUGUUCCAAACGUGGAAAAGCC